UGUCCAACAACUGUCCCUACCUCCUCGUGGUACUGGCCGGAGUACGAGUAACCUUGGGGAAGAUCGGGUAACCAAUCCUGGUGGGAACUUUGGUCGUAUACUGGGAGGGAAAG
rnacentral:ribozyme from 1 species